UAUCUAAACCUAUUCUUUAGUUCACUUUUCAAUCUUCAUUCGGUCUUCUACUCUUCUUCCUUUGCUUCGCCGCCGCUUCGCCCUUUUGUUUUUCAGCCAACAAUCUUCCUCCAUAGCCUGCCCCUGCUUCACCUUCACGGCUUCACCACCACCUUCAGUUGCUGAUCAGAAGCAAGAUGAUGGUUUUGAUGAGUUUGAUCCUCGUAGCUCAUUUUCAGUUGAGCAAAGGGCAUGAUCCAGAGUCAUCAACAACACAAGCGUCCAUUGCCUCAACCUACAGUCAUGGAGGCAAAAGUCAAAACAACUAGCUGACUCAAUAUGAGAUGAGAUCAAGUACAGAUUCGGCAUGCCUUGCUGUGCCAUGUCGCUGAAUGUGCUCUUUUUAUUAAUUUAGUUUGGAUCCAUGUCACUGGAUGUGCCCUUUUUCUUCGUCUUCUCCUUCUAUUUUUCUUUUUAAGCAUUGUUUAGGUGCUCAGAUUUGAAAAUGAUAGCAACUUCACCACCUUGGCCUCUUCCCUACCAGAUGUUGAAUGGCUUGAAAUUUUGGAGAGAAGAAAAGCUUCCUUUUUUUUUUUUGGGAGAAACACAAGAUAAAGGAUUUUUAAGAACCAAUUUUUUC